AAAGCUUGUUAAGUAAUUUGAGAUUUUCAUAAUUGUAAUGAUUAUUAUGAUAUAUUAAUAAUAAUAAAAUUAAUUUAAAUUUCAGAGUUUUCUGAUAAUUUAUAUAUAAUUAAUGAAUAUUAGAGAUUGGCCAAUUUAUCUUUAUUAGGAUGUAUAACAUUUUUGGUAAAAAACUGAGCCAAUAUUAACACUGUUAUUCAUUAUUUUCACAUCUGUAUGAUAAUGAUUAAUGAUAUUACCUACCAUGACCAAAACUGUCAAAUUACUUUAUGUUAUGUCAGUUCUGAUAUAUGUUAGUAUAUAUUAUGUAUCUACAAAACAUAAAACAUUUUUCUCAUUUAAUUUUAGGUUCUGAGUAGAGCAAGGAAUAUAUUGGUUUUAAAAAGAUGUUUUUUUUGUACAACUAUUUUCCUACCAGAAAUUUUGUUUAGAUUUCCCUAGGGGUUUUCAUAAUAAAUGGGAUAAACCAGACAAUUUAAUGUGUUAUUCUUAAAUCAUAAAUAUUACACUUUCAAAACAUGUAUAACCAAACUGUUCAGAAUCACUUUUUGUUAGUAAAGAUUAAUCAUUAUGUAUAGAUAUAUACAUUAAAUUCCCUGAUAUAUUCUACCUUCCCAACUUUUCACUUACAACAGUGGCUCACUCAUCUUGUGAAGUAUGUCCAUCUUUUAUUUAAUUGAUAUCUUGGAGUAGUACAUUUUUGUAGAAGUAUAUAUUUUUCAUGUUUUAUACUAUUUUAAAUUAAAUGUUUUCUUCAAAUAUUCUCAUAUUUUAUAGUAGAGUAAUAAUAAUAAUAUAUCUAAGAUAAAAAUCAUAAUUUGUGUAAACAAAUAAUCAAAUUAAUUGAUUGUUGAUAAUUUGUAGAUUGAUAUACAUUUGUAUUAUUUUAAGUAUAACUUAAAUAAAACUAACUAGUUUACACUAAUAUAAUUUAUUUGAAUACUACAAAUAUGUGUUCUACUAAAUAUGAUUUCUUAGAUUAUUCUUUCGUUGAAGUUUUAUAAUGUGUUUAACCAAUAGAUGUAUGUAAAAAUAAACAUUUUUAAAU